CCUACGUGGUGCUGCAGUGGGGAAUAUUGCGCAAUGGGCGAAAGCCUGACGCAGCGACGCCGCGUGAGGGAUGAAGGUCUUCGGAUCGUAAACCUCUGUCAGCAGGGAAGAACGGUCACUGUGCUAAUCAGCCGUGAAUUGACGGUACCUGCAAAGGAAGCACCGGCUAACUCCGUGCCAGCAGCCGCGGUAAUACGGCGGGUGCGAGCGUUAAUCGGAAUUACUGGGCGUAAAGCGCUCGUAGGCGGUAUGUCAAGUCAAGGGUGAAAUCCCCGCGCUCAACGUGGGAACUGCCUUUGAAACUGGCAAACUGGAGUGUGUGAGAGGAUAGUGGAAUUCCAGGUGUAGGAGUGAAAUCCGUAGAGAUCUGGAGGAACAUCAGUGGCGAAGGCGACUAUCUGGCACAUAACUGACGCUGAGGAGCGAAAGCGUGGGUAGCAAACAGGAUUAGAUACCCCUGUAGUC
rnacentral:rRNA from 1 species